rnacentral:rRNA from 1 species
AAUUGGAGGGCAAGUCUGGUGCCAGCAGCCGCGGUAAUUCCAGCUCCAAUAGCGUAUAUUAAAGUUGUUGCAGUUAAAAAGCUCGUAGUUGAAUUUCGGGAUUGACACAUCGGUCGUGCCUUAAGGGGUGUGAACUGGUGUAGUCAAUUUCUCACCUUCUGGAGAACCGCGAUGCCCUUAAUUGGGUGUCACGGGGAACCAGGACCUUUACUUUGAAAAAAUUAGAGUGUUUAAAGCAGGCAUUUUGCUUGAAUACAUUAGCAUGGAAUAAUAAAAUAGGACGGCAUGAUUCUAUUUUGUUGGUUUCUAGGAUCACCGUAAUGAUUAAUAGGGAUAGUUGGGGGCAUUAGUAUUCAAUUGUCAGAGGUGAAAUUCUUGGAUUUAUUGAAGACUAACUACUGCGAAAGCAUUUGCCAAGGAUGUUUUCAUUAAUCAAGAACGAAAGUUAGGGGAUCGAAGACGAUCAGAUACCGUCGUAGUCUUAACCAUAAACUAUGCCGACUAGGAAUCAGACGAUGUUAAUUUUUUAAUGACUCGUUUGGCACCUUACGGGAACCAAAGUGU